CCCGGGAGGCGCCGGAGCCCAGCGGCUGGCGCCAGAUCCAGGCUCCUGGAAGAACCAUGUCCGGCAGCUACUGGUCGUGCCAGGCACACACUGCUGCCCAAGAGGAGCUGCUGUUUGAAUUAUCUGUGAAUGUUGGAAAGAGGAAUGCCAGAGCUGCCGGCUAAAAAUUACCCAACCAAGAGAAAUGUAGGCUGGGCAGCCUGAAUCACCCCCUGCAGGAUGGACUUUCUGGUCCUCUUCUUGUUCUACCUGGCUUCGGUGCUGAUGGGUCUUGUUCUUAUCUGCGUCUGCUUGAAAACCCAUAGCUUGAAAGGCCUGGCCAGGGGAGGAGCACAGAUAUUUUCCUGUAUAAUUCCAGAACGUCUUCAGAGAGCUGUGCAUGGAUUGCUUCAUUACCUUUUCCAUACGAGAAACCACACCUUCAUUGUCCUGCACCUGGUCUUGCAAGGGAUGGUUUAUACUGAGUACACCUGGGAAGUAUUUGGCUACUGUCAGGAGCUGGACUUCUCCUUGUAUUACCUUCUUCUGCCCUAUCUGCUGCUAGUUGUAAACCUGUUUUCUUUCACCCUGACUUGUGUAACCAAUCCUGGCGUUAUAACAAAAGCAAAUGAAUUAUUAUUUCUUCAUGUUUAUGAAUUUGAUGAACUGAUGUUUCCAAAGAACGUGAGGUGCUCUACUUGUGAUUUAAGGAAACCAGCUCGAUCCAAGCACUGCAGUGAGUGUGGCUCUCGUGACUCCAGCGGCACCCCCAACAGCACAUGUGUGGGCUUUGUCUGUGAGGGAAUGUUUCCUGAAUCCAAAAGCAGAGCCAGUUCACCCCUAGACAUGGUGUGGCCACUACUUGUAGAGUUGAGAUAAUGGUUUCUUUCAGAUGAGUGAGGGUCAGGUCUUGUGUUCCUGUGUAGUAGACAGUCCUCAUCUCUGGGCAUAACAGCCCUUCCCUUGCCACGUGGCAGGACAUGCUCCCCACAAGUUGUUUCUGCGGAUGUUGUGUUUGCAGAUUUCAGUCCCACAAAGCCUAGUCUUCUGGGGAGGGCCCAACAUUCUAGACCAGUGCUGUCUAACAAAAAUAGAAUGUGGCUGGGUGCAGCGGCUCAUGCCAGGAAUUCCAGUACUUUGGCAGAUCUCUUGAGCCUAGGAGUUCAAGACCAGCCUGGGCACCAUGGGGAAACCCCACCUCUAUGAAAAAUAGAAAAGUUGUAGUCCUGGCUACUCAGGAGGCUGAGGCGGGAGGAUCACUUGAGCCCAGGAGAUCGAGGCUGCAGUAAGCUAUGAUUAAACCACUGCACUCCAGCCUCAGCAACAGAGCAAGACCCUGUCUCAGAAAAAAAAAAAAACACCAUGAAUAGAAAGUUUUUAAAAAUGUUUUUCAGAAUGUGGCUGUGCUUGGAGACAGUUUUAAUCAGGAUGUUAUUUAACCUAACAUAUGUAAAAUAUCACUUUAACAUGUAAUCAAUGUAAAAAAUUCUUCAUGAGAUAGUUUAUAUUCUCUUUUUCAUACGAAGCCUUUGAAAUCUGGUGUGUGUAUUUUACAUUUACAGCACAUCUUGAUUUGGACACUAAAUUUUCAUGUGGAAAUACUUGUGUAUUUAGAUUUAA
rnacentral:sRNA from 1 species